GACGAGCGCUGGCGGCGUGCUCAACACAUGCAUGUCGAACGGAAAGGCCCUGCUUUUGUGGGGUGCUCGAGUGGCGCACGGGUGAGUAACCCGUGAGUAAACUGCCCUUGACUUUGGGAUAACUUCAGGUCACUGGGGCUUAUACCGGCUAGGAGCUCCUGCUGCCUGGUGGGGGUUGGAAAGUUUCGGCGGUUGGGGAUGGACUCGCGGCCUAUCAGCUUGUUGGUGGGGUGGUGGCUUACCAAGGCUUUGACGGGUAGCCGGCCUGAGAGUGUGACCGGCCACAUUGGGACUGAGAUAAGGCCCAGACUCCUACGGGAGGCAGCAGUGGGGAAUAGUGCACAAUGGGCGGAAGCCUGAUGCAGCAACGCCGCGUGCGGGAUGACGGCCUUCGGGGUGUAAACCGCUUUCGCCUGUGACGAAGCGUGAGUGACGGUAAUGGGUAAAGAAGCACCGGCUAACUACGUG
rnacentral:rRNA from 1 species